rnacentral:rRNA from 1 species
GAGUGCAGUUGAGGCAGGCGGAAUUCGUGGUGUAGCGGUGAAAUGCUUAGAUAUCACGAAGAACUCCGAUUGCGAAGGCAGCCUGCUAAGCUGCAACUGACAUUGAGGCUCGAAAGUGUGGGUAUCAAACAGGAUUAGAUACCCUGGUAGUCCACACGGUAAACGAUGAAUACUCGCUGUUUGCGAUAUACUGCAAGCGGCCAAGCGAAAGCGUUAAGUAUUCCACCUGGGGAGUACGCCGGCAACGGUGAAACUCAAAGGAAUUGACGGGGGCCCGCACAAGCGGAGGAACAUGUGGUUUAAUUCGAUGAUACGCGAGGAACCUUACCCGGGCUUAAAUUGCAGAUGAAUUACGGUGAAAGCCGUAAGCCGCAAGGCAUCUGUGAAGGUGCUGCAUGGUUGUCGUCAGCUCGUGCCGUGAGGUGUCGGCUUAAGUGUCAUAACGAGCGCAACCCUUGUUGUCAGUUACUAACAGGUUCCGCUGAGGACUCUGACAAGACUGCCAUCGUAAGAUGUGAGGAAGGUGGGGAUGACGUCAAAUCAGCACGGCCCUUACGUCCGGGGCUACACACGUGUUACAAUGGGGGGUACAGAGGGCCGCUACCACGCGAGUGGAUGCCAAUCCCCAAAACCUCUCUCAGUUCGGACUGGAGUCUGCAACCCGACUCCACGAAGCUGGAUUCGCUAGUAAUCGCGCAUCAGCCACGGCGCGGUGAAUACGUUCCCGGGCCUUGUACACACCGCCCGUCAAGCCAUGGGAGCCGGGGGUACCUGAAGUGCGUAACCGCGAGGAGCGCCCUAGGGUAAAACU